ACUCCUACGGGAGGCAGCAGUGGGGAAUCUUGCGCAAUGGGCGAAAGCCUGACGCAGCCAUGCCGCGUGAAUGAUGAAGGUCUUAGGAUUGUAAAAUUCUUUCACCGGGGACGAUAAUGACGGUACCCGGAGAAGAAGCCCCGGCUAACUUCGUGCCAGCAGCCGCGGUAAUACGAAGGGGGCUAGCGUUGCUCGGAAUUACUGGGGCGUAAAGGGAGCGUAGGCGGACAUUUAAGUCAGGGGUGAAAUCCCGGGGGCUCAACCUCGGAAUUGCCUUUUGAUACUGGAUGUCUUGAGUGUGAGAGAGGUAUGUGGAACUCCGAGUGUAGAGGUGAAAUUCGUAGAUAUUCGGAAGAACACCAGUGGCGAAGGCGACAUACUGGCUCAUUACUGACGCUGAGGCUCGAAAGCGUGGGGAGCAAACAGGAUUAGAUACCCUGGUAGGAUAGCG
rnacentral:rRNA from 1 species